rnacentral:misc_RNA from 1 species
UUUGGACAAAAUAACUUUUAAAAAGUGAAAAAUAAAAGUGGACGGAGGUAGUAUUACAAAUGAAGUCUUAUCGAUCAAUCCUGAAUCCAGUCAUAAGCUUUCAUUUCCAGGAAACACUAGACACAGAUCAUAAUUUCUUAGACAUGAACAUAAAUAAAAUUGUCCCCCAAAUUGAUCAAGCUGUACAUUUGUGUGUGCAUGUAGUAUCAUCACAAAAGUAUUGGUUCUGCCAAGCUAUAACUCAAAAGUUCGAUUUCAAUUUUUCAUAUGGUUAAAAAUAAUUGCAACCACCCAAGGAAUAAUGUUUAGUAGAUAUCUCAAUAACAGAUGGAAUUUGUAAAUGGGAAUAUCUGAGACAAGCAAGUAGCAUGUGCUCUAAUUGCCACCGUUUAACUAAUUUAUUGAAGCAGUGCAACUAAGUUCAUCUUAGCAAAACAAACUGAAAACUUAUUUUGUCAAGGAUCACCUUAAUCUUCAUAGUGUCAAAGUGCAAAAUCUAGUUUUCCAUAAUGUUAAAUUCAUUUUCAUUUAAGAGGAUGUUCUCCUAAAAUCCAAUUGACCACAAACACCAACGUUCUUGAAGACAGAGGAAUACCAACACGGACUGUUUAAAGCAAUAACUAAAAGCAGUCUGAGAAGUGAAGUCAAAUGACUAAUAAAUAUUCAAAACCCAAUUAAUCAAGACAUUCGGCAAGCACAACACAUGCACACACUAAAA